CCUACGGGGGGCAGCAGUGAGGAAUAUUGGUCAAUGGGCGCGAGCCUGAACCAGCCAAGUCGCGUGAGGGAAGACGGCCCUACGGGUUGUAAACCUCUUUUGCCGGGGAGCAACGGGCGCCACGUGUGGCGCCACUGAGAGUACCCGGAGAAAAAGCAUCGGCUAACUCCGUGCCAGCAGCCGCGGUAAUACGGAGGAUGCGAGCGUUAUCGGGAUUUAUUGGGUUUAAAGGGUGCGUAGGCGGGGCGUUAAGUCAGUGGUAAAAUGGAGGGGCUCAACCCCUUCCCGCCAUUGAAACUGGCGCUCUUGAGUGGAAGAGAGGUAUGCGGAAUGCGAGGUGUAGCGGUGAAAUGCGUAGAUAUCGCGCAGAACCCCGAUGGCGAAGGCAGCAUGCCGGCUUCCUACUGACGCUGAGGCACGAAAGCGUGGGGAUCGAACAGGAUUAGAUACCCUUGUAGUC
rnacentral:rRNA from 1 species